AUUGAACGCUGGCGGCAUGCCUUACACAUGCAAGUCGAACGGCAGCACGGGGGCAACCCUGGUGGCGAGUGGCGAACGGGUGAGUAAUGCAUCGGAACGUGCCCUGUCGUGGGGGAUAACACAUCGAAAGAUGUGCUAAUACCGCAUACGACCUGAGAGUGAAAGCGGGGGACCGUAAGGCCUCGCGCGAUAGGAGCGGACGAGGUCUGAUUAGCUAGUUGGUGGGGUAAAGGCCUACCAAGGCGACGAUCAGUAGCUGGUCUGAGAGGACGACCAGCCACACUGGGACUGAGACACGGCCCAGACUCCUACGGGAGGCAGCAGUGGGGAAUUUUGGACAAUGGGGGCAACCCUGAUCCAGCCAUGCCGCGUGCGGGAAGAAGGCCUUCGGGUUGUAAACCGCUUUUGGCAGGAACGAAACGGUGCGGGCGAAUACCCUGUGCUAAUGACGGUACCUGCAGAAUAAGCACCGGCUAACUACGUGCCAGCCGCCGCGGUAAAAC
rnacentral:rRNA from 1 species